AGUGUUGUUGGCGUAAGCAUGGGUUCAUUUAUGGUCAACUAUGGGUGGCAUGGCUCAGAAUGCACAGAUAAAGAAAACUGGUACAGUGAGAAAUAAAAGGAAGAAAAGAAACGUGUCGAUACCUGAUUGGUCGGACUGUACAGUACCAGGUGACGGUAAAGGGAUUGAUGGAAAACCCUGCACAUGGAGGACACGUGUCGAAUGAGAGAUAGAUGCAUUGGAUUUUCCCGGGUGACCU
rnacentral:lncRNA from 1 species